AAAGAUUUAGUUUAAAUUAUAAAACAUUAAUUUGUCAAAUUAAAAAUAAUUCCCAUUAAUUAAUCUUUU
rnacentral:tRNA from 1 species